AUUGAACGCUGGCGGCAUGCUUUACACACGCAAGUCGAACGGUAACAGGCCUUCGGGUGCUGACGAGUGGCGAACGGGUGAGUAAUGCAUCGGAACGUACCCAGAGGUGGGGGAUAACGCAGCGAAAGCUGUGCUAAUACCGCAUGUGAUCUGAGGAUGAAAGCGGGGGACCGAGCAGCAAUGUUUGGCCUCGCGCCUUUGGAGCGGCCGAUGUCGGAUUAGCUAGUUGGUGGGGUAAAGGCCUACCAAGGCGACGAUCCGUAGCUGGUCUGAGAGGACGACCAGCCACACUGGGACUGAGACACGGCCCAGACUCCUACGGGAGGCAGCAGUGGGGAAUUUUGGACAAUGGGCGCAAGCCUGAUCCAGCAAUGCCGCGUGCGGGAAGAAGGCCUUCGGGUUGUAAACCGCUUUUGGCAGGAACGAAACGGUGUCCGCUAAUACCGGGCGCUAAUGACGGUACCUGCAGAAUAAGCACCGGCUAACUACGUG
rnacentral:rRNA from 1 species